CUUUGAAAACUGAUUUUAUUCCCGUAUUUAGAUACUCGUAUUCCCCAAAAUAUGCAAAGUAAUUGCAAAUUGCACGGACGAGAAUCCUGAUGUCUAGAUCCUUUUACCAAAUGAGAAAAAGCUUACUAUAUUAACGAAAGCAAAUCAUCAAUAUCAAUUCUAUGAGAGAAGACAAUGGGAAGUCGAAACAUUCCCGCCAGAUCUCCUAUCAGUAAUCUAUAUUACAAUUUGACUUUAUAAGUAAUAUUUGUCAUUUCAAUUUAAGGAAGAUGUCGAACAUGACAGCAAUCUGUUGUGUCUUACACUUUUGAUGAGUAGUACACUUAUCAUAAAUGUAAAAUCUGUGUUCGACUACACCACCCUGGACAAGUUAGCUUUUAUUGCUUCACUAUCCGACAUGAUAAAAGUUCUAGAUGAUGAAGCGGAAGACAAACAUAAUGCCGAAACAAUUCAAGUUGCUUCUCCCACUCUAAUGAUGUGCAUCAGAGAUUUUUUCCUGAAAAAUACAAAGGAUGGAAAACACCAGACUCCAACUGAAUACCUUGAAGAUAACCUUAAAACAGUAGACCUGUCUACCUUCAAACCGAAACAACAGGAAAAACAACUGAAAUUCAACACCAUUAAACAAUAUAUCAAAAAGUAUUUCCAAAGAGAACAUGCUUUACGAUUGCACAGCCAGCUAUUGGAGAGAAUCUUCAGAAAAUUGAAGAAUUAGAUGAAUCAUCUUUAGAGAGGAGUUUUGUCGAAAACAUAAACACAUUGCGCAGUUACGUUUAUGACAGAAAACCUAAGUACAUCUGCAACGCAAGCAAUAAACCAUUAGACGGAGCAGAUUUAACAACUCUCAUCACGUUUUACGUAAACUCACUAAGGAAAGGUAGUCCAUUGAAGUGUCAAGAUGCAUAUGGACAAACUUCUCGCCAGCGUAA